GCGCAUAUAGCUCAGCAGGAUAGAGCACCUCCCUCCUAAGGAGGGGGCCGGGGGUUCGAAUCCCUCUAUGCGCGCCA
rnacentral:tRNA from 1 species